rnacentral:rRNA from 1 species
AGAUAAUAGAUACCCGGUAGUCCACGCCCUAAACGAUGUCGACUGGGUGUUGGGGAAGCGAUUUCCCAGUACCGUAGCUAAACGCGUGAAAGUCGACCGCCUGGGGAGUACGGCCGCAAGGUUAAAACCUCAAAGGAAUUGACGGGGUACCCGCACAAGCGGUGGAUGAUGUGGAUUAAUUCGAUGCAACGCGAACAACCUUACCUACCCUUGACAUGUCCGAGAGCCUGCUGAGAGGUGGGUGUGCCCGAAAGGGAAUCGGAACACAGGUGCUGCAUGGCUGUCGUCAGCUCGUGUCGUGGGAUGUUGGG